rnacentral:rRNA from 1 species
UACGGGAGGCAGCAGUGGGGAAUAUUGCACAAUGGGCGCAAGCCUGAUGCAGCCAUGCCGCGUGUAUGAAAAAGGCCUUCGGGUUGUAAAGUACUUUCAGUCGUGAGGAAGGUGUUAAGGUUAAUAACCUUAGCAAUUGACGUUAGCGACAGAAGAAGCACCGGCUAACUCCGUGCCAGCAGCCGCGGUAAUACGGAGGGUGCGAGCGUUAAUCGGAAUUACUGGGCGUAAAGGGCACGCAGGCGGUUAAUUAAGUUGGAUGUGAAAUCCCCGGGCUUAACCUGGGAAUGGCAUUCAAGACUGGUUAGCUAGAGUCUUGUAGAGGGGGUAGAAUUCCAUGUGUAGCGGUGAAAUGCGUAGAGAUGUGGAGGAAUACCGAUGGCGAAGGCGGCCCCUGGACAAAGACUGACGCUCAUGUGCGAAAGCGUGGGGAGCAAACAGGAUUAGAUACC